UUCCAGUUGUCUGUCUCUCCCAGUGC
rnacentral:piRNA from 1 species